rnacentral:rRNA from 1 species
AUACGGAGGGGGCUAGCGUUGUUCGGAAUUACUGGGCGUAAAGCGCGCGUAGGCGGAUCGUUAAGUCAGGGGUGAAAGCCCGGAGCUCAACUCCGGAACUGCCCUUGAUACUGGCGAUCUAGAGUCCGGGAGAGGUGAGCGGAAUUCCUAGUGUAGAGGUGAAAUUCGUAGAUAUUAGGAGGAACACCAGUGGCGAAGGCGGCUCACUGGCCCGGUACUGACGCUGAGGUGCGAAAGCGUGGGGAGCAAACAGGAUUAGAAACCCUAGUAGUCC